AUUGAACGCUAGCGGCAGGCCUAACACAUGCAAGUCGAGCGGGGUUUUCGGACCUAGCGGCGGACGGGUGAGUAAUGCGUAGGAAGCUACCCGAUAGAGGGGGAUACCAGUUGGAAACGACUGUUAAUACCGCAUAAUGUCUACGGACCAAAGUGUGGGACCUUCGGGCCACAUGCUAUCGGAUGCGCCUACGUGGGAUUAGCUAGUUGGUGAGGUAAUCGCUCACCAAGGCGACGAUCCCUAGCUGGUUUGAGAGGAUGAUCAGCCACACUGGAACUGAGACACGGUCCAGACUCCUACGGGAGGCAGCAGUGGGGAAUAUUGGACAAUGGGCGCAAGCCUGAUCCAGCCAUGCCGCGUGUGUGAAGAAGGCCUUCGGGUUGUAAAGCACUUUCAGUAGGGAGGAAGAGUUGAGUGUUAAUAGUACUCAGCUUUGACGUUACCUACAGAAGAAGCACCGGCUAACUCUGUGCCAGCCGCCGCAGUAAGAC
rnacentral:rRNA from 1 species